rnacentral:rRNA from 1 species
GAUGAACGCUGGCGGCGUGCCUAAUACAUGCCAGUCGAGCGAACAGACGAGGAGCUUGCUCCUCUGACGUUAGCGGCGGACGGGUGAGUAACACGUGGAUAACCUACCUAUAAGACUGGGAUAACUUCGGGAAACCGGAGCUAAUACCGGAUAAUAUAUUGAACCGCAUGGUUCAAUAGUGAAAGACGGUUUUGCUGUCACUUAUAGAUGGAUCCGCGCCGCAUUAGCUAGUUGGUAAGGUAACGGCUUACCAAGGCAACGAUGCGUAGCCGACCUGAGAGGGUGAUCGGCCACACCGGAACUGAGACACGGUCCAGACUCCUACGGGAGGCAGCAGUAGGGAAUCUUCCGCAAUGGGCGAAAGCCUGACGGAGCAACGCCGCGUGAGUGAUGAAGGUCUUCGGAUCGUAAAACUCUGUUAUUAGGGAAGAACAAAUGUGUAAGUAACUAUGCACGUCUUGACGGUACCUAAUCAGAAAGCCACGGCUAACUACGUG